ACGAAUACGGCUCGCGGUGCUACGAAUGCUAAACAGCGGAAUAUCGUUGCCGCUACGGGUAAUCACCCAGGUCGGUUCGCUCAGACGGUUGCCACGGCAUUUGCUCGCAAAGCCCAGAAUCAGGCAGGUGCAGCUGCUGUUACGAUCUUUCAUCAGCCACACGGUAUGAUCCACCAGCUGGCUCGCCACGCCCAGCACAUAUUUGGUCACGGUGUUUUCCCAAAACAGACGCACGGUGCUAUGGGUCGCAUCGCCCAGUUACAUAAACGGGCUCACCAGGCCACGGGUGCUAUCGCUACGGUUUUAAAUGCUUUACACGCCAUGAUACGCGCCGGUGCUUUAGCCGCUCAGGCCACGGCUGUUUUAAAUGCACAGGUUGCCCAGACGCGGGUUCAGCACGGUCAGGCUUUAAUCCACGCUACGACGGUUUUACAGACGGCUCAGCGCCACGCACGCGGUGCUACGAUCUUCGCUCGCGCUCAGGGUUUCCGGCAGAUAUUAAUGAAUACGGCUACGGUUAUCUUUGCUAUCCAGUUACGGGUUAUCGGUGCCAUGACGGCAUUACGCCUGCAGACGUUCCGCCACAAACACAAUCGCAAACACUUACGGAUACAGACGCGCGCCGGUUUCAUAGCCGCCCACCAUCUGGUUAAACAGCAGGCCAAUCGGGCUCAGAUCACGAUACACUUAGCCGCAGUUCAGAUGGUUAUGCUGGCUAAUGGUCAGUUAGCCUUUAUCGCUAAACCAAAACAGCAGCAUCGGGCCGCUAAAAAAAUACAUAAUAAUCGCCAGGCCGGUUUAAAUGUUCAGGGUCAGCGGUUAGUUGCCCUGAAAACGGCACCACGCCAGGUUCCAAUGGGUCGGUUAAAUCGGUUUAAAAUACUGAUGGCUUUACGGUUUUUCCGGGCUCAGCGGCAGCCAGCCCAUAAUCAGGGUCUGAUCCUGGCUCGCGCCCACAUACGCAUAUUACGCCUGUUUGGUCUGGCUAAAUUCGUUGCCGCCGCAAUACAGCGGCACGGUCUGGUUCAGGCCAAUGUUAAAAUGGUUGUUUUUGUUAUACGGAUCAUACAUGCUAUAAUGAUCUUUAUAUUCACGCGCAUAGUUAUAGCCGCCAUCCAGGGUCAGGCUCGGUUCAUCCCACAGAUCGCCGGUCAGAUGCUGACGUUCCACAUCACGGCUCAGAUAAUGGCCCACAAUGUUGGUCAGAUCUUCUUAGCAGCUUUCAAUGCUCUGCACUUCAUCUUA
rnacentral:rRNA from 1 species